UAGGGGGCAAGCGUUAUCCGGAAUCACUGGGUGUAAAGGGAGCGUAGACGGCCAUGCAAGCCUGGAGUGAAAGCCCGGGGCCCAACCCCGGGACUGCUCUGGGAACUGCUUGGCUUGAGUGCGGGAGAGGCAGGCGGAAUUCCUGGUGUAGCGGUGAAAUGCGUAGAUAUCAGGAGGAACACCGGCGGCGAAGGCGGCCUGCUGGACCGCGACUGACGUUGAGGCUCGAAAGCGUGGGGAGCA
rnacentral:rRNA from 1 species